rnacentral:rRNA from 1 species
UACAGAGGUCUCAAGCGUUGUUCGGAAUGACUGGGCGUAAAGGGUGCGUAGGCGGUUGUACAAGUUAGAAGUGAAAUACCCAGGGCUUAACUCGGGUGCUGCUUCUAAAACUGUAUGACUUGAGUGCAGUAGAGGUUAGUGGAAUUCCUAGUGUAGCGGUGGAAUGCGUAGAUAUUAGGAGGAACACCAGAGGCGAAGGCGGCUAACUGGACUGCAACUGACGCUGAGGCACGAAAGUGUGGGGAGCAAACAGG